rnacentral:tRNA from 1 species
GCCACCGUAGCUCAAUUGGCAGAGCACCUGAUUUGUAAUCUGGAGGUUGACGGUUCGAUUCCGUUCGGUGGCU